rnacentral:tRNA from 1 species
GGCGGCAUAGCCAAAUUGGUAAGGCAGCGGUUUGCAAAACCGUGUAUUCCCGGUUCAAGUCCGGGUGCCGCCUCCA